rnacentral:piRNA from 1 species
UCUCGAAAAACAAAACAAAAAACAAAAAAC